rnacentral:misc_RNA from 1 species
GAUGAAGAACGCAGCGAAAUGCGAUAAGUAGUGUGAAUUGCAGAAUUCAGUGAAUCAUCGAAUCUUUGAACGCACAUUGCGCCCUUUGGUAUUCCAAAGGGCAUGCCUGUUCGAGCGUCAUUUGUACCCUCAAGCUUUGCUUGGUGUUGGGCGUCUUGUCUCUAGCUUUGCUGGAGACUCGCCUUAAAGUAAUUGGCAGCCGGCCUACUGGUUUCGGAGCGCAGCACAAGUCGCACUCUCUAUCAGCAAAGGUCUAGCAUCCAUUAAGCCUUUUUUUCAACUUUUGACCUCGGAUCAGGUAGGGAUCCCCGCUGAACUUAAGCAUAUCAAUAAGCGGAGGA